UACGUAGGUGGCAAGCGUUGUCCGGAAUUAUUGGGCGUAAAGCGCGCGCAGGCGGUCCUUUAAGUCUGAUGUGAAAGCCCCGGGCUCAACCUGGGAACUGCAUUUGAAACUGGCGGGCUUGAGUGCGGCAGAGGGGGGUGGAAUUCCGCGUGUAGCAGUGAAAUGCGUAGAGAUGUGGAGGAACACCGAUGGCGAAGGCAGCCCCCUGGGCUGAGAUUGACGCUCAGGCACGAAAGCGUGGGGAGCAAACAGG
rnacentral:rRNA from 1 species